GAAAAAAGAAAAAGAAAAGGCGAGAAAGAAAGGGAGGGGUGUCUGGUCUUGGAUGGUUGGUUGGUUGGUUUUUAUUCUCCCUUGAGUUUUUGUGGAGAGGAGGACACUACGCCCUUUUUCUCUCUUUCUCUCUCUCUAAGCAAAAAAUAAAUAAUAAUAAAAAAUACUCACCCCCCUCCCCCCCCACUCUCUCACUAAUAAAAUUGAAAGAACAUAAAAAACACAAAUUCUUGGUUUUCCUGUUGGAAUGGGAAUUCCGGAAGAGAAUGGAAAACUGAGAAUUCGGUAGUAUAGAGAGAAUGAUCAGAGUAAGAAAUGGAUUUUGAUGCCGGAAUCCCGAUGUCUCGUGGUGUUGGUGGUCUACCAGCUGUGACGGAGGAAACUUCUCUGUCACCGUCUUUAAGCGAAGAUGCAAUAUGGCAAAUGAACCUGAGAUCAAGUGAGACAAUGGAAGCUGGGCCGUAUCCCGAGCGUCCCGGAGAGCCGGAUUGUUCUUAUUACAUAAGAACAGGCCUCUGUAGAUUUGGGCCUACCUGCCGAUUUAAUCAUCCUCCUAAUCGGAAGCUGGCUAUUGCAGCGGCCAGGAUGAAGGGAGAAUUCCCGGAAAGAAUAGGACAACCAGAAUGCCAGAUGGAAUAUGAGAAUGAGAUAAUAUUGACCAUAGAGGAGGGACAGUAAUUAAAUCAAAGUUAAGAUAAUCACUGCAAAAUUAAUGCAACUGGAGCCAGAAUUUCUGUCAGGGUCCAGAGAAGCUAGAAGAGUGAGGGAUUCAAUGGAAAACUACUAUCUAAUUUGAGAGACUGGCCAAUACGAAAUUGACUUUGCCUUUCUUUCCAGAGAAACUUUCAUCAAUUCAGACUAUUCUGUUGUGAAUCCUUUGAAGCAUUCAUUAGGUGUAAUCCCCCAUUUCCUCACAUGUUCUUGAAUUUUUGUCAUUAAUGGUAAAUGUGGACAUGAAAUUUCUUUU